UAAGACGAACCGUCCAAACGUUAUUCGGUAUCACUGGGCUUAAAGCGUGCGUAGGCGGCUUGGUAGGUGAGAUGUGAAAGCCCACGGCUCAACCGUGGAAUUGCGUUUCAAACCCCCGAGCUCGAGGAAGAUAGGGGUGAUGGGAACUUAUGGUGGAGCGGUGAAAUGCGUUGAUAUCAUAGGGAACACCGGUGGCGAAAGCGCAUCACUGGAUCUUUUCUGACGCUGAGGCACGAAAGCUAGGGUAGCGAACGGGAUUAGAUACCCCGGUAGUCCUAGCCGUAAACGAUGAACACUGGGUUGAGGGGACUUCCACAUCCUCUCGGCCGUAGCGAAAGCGUUAAGUGUUCCGCCUGGGGAGUAUGGUCGCAAGGCUG
rnacentral:rRNA from 1 species